AAACACACACUCUGCAUUAUAUACACACUCUGCAUUAUAUACAUAGAGUGUGUGUAUAUAAUGCAGAGUGUGUGUUU